GAAGUGCGAACCAAGCCGGCGCGAAAACGCCGUAAGACUUGGAGCGGAUAGUCGUAAGGCUAUCUUGCA
rnacentral:sRNA from 12 species